GAGUUUGAACCUGGCUCAGGACGAACGCUGGCGGCGUGCCUAACACAUGCAAGUCGAACGGAGCUAUGCGCUGAACGGAGAGCAGCUUGCUGAAGGAAGUUCUUGUAUAGCUUAGUGGCGGACGGGUGAGUAACGCGUGAGCAACCUGCCUUUCAGAGGGGGAUAACGUUUGGAAACGAACGCUAAUACCGCAUAAGACCACACUUCCACAUGGGAGAGGGGUCAAAGGAGCAAUCCGCUGAAAGAUGGGCUCGCGUCCGAUUAGAUAGUUGGGGGGGUAACGGCCCACCAAGUCGACGAUCGGUAGCCGGACUGAGAGGUUGAACGGCCACAUUGGGACUGAGACACGGCCCAGACUCCUACGGGAGGCAGCAGUGAGGGAUAUUGGUCAAUGGGGGAAACCCUGAACCAGCAACGCCGCGUGAGGGAAGACGGUUUUCGGAUUGUAAACCUCUGUCCUCUGUGAAGAUAAUGACGGUAGCAGAGGAGGA
rnacentral:rRNA from 1 species